rnacentral:rRNA from 1 species
UUAACUGGGCGUUAAGUUGCAGGGUAUAGACCCGAACCGGUGAUCUAGCCAUGGGCAGGUUGAAGGUUGGGUAACACUAACUGGAGGACCGAACCGACUAAUGUUGAAAAAUUAGCGGAUGACUUGUGGCUGGGGGUGAAAGGCCAAUCAAACCGGGAGAUAGCUGGUUCUCCCCGAAAGCUAUUUAGGUAGCGCUCGUGAUUCAUCUCGGGGUCGGAGAGCACUGUUUCGGCAAGGGGGUCAUCCCGACUUACCAAACCCGAUGCAAACUGCGAAUACCGGAGAAUGUUAUCACGGGAGACACACGGCGGGUGCUAACGUCCGUCGUGAAGAGGGAAACAACCCAGACCGCCAGCUAAGGUCCCAAAGUCAUGGUUAAGUGGGAAACGAUGUGGGAAGGCCCAGACAGCCAGGAUGUUGGCUUAGAAGCAGCCAUCAUUUAAAGAAAGCGUAAUAGCUCACUGGUCGAGUCGGCCUGCGCGGAAGAUGUAACGGGGCUAAACCAUGCACCGAAGCUGCGGCAGCGACACU